rnacentral:misc_RNA from 1 species
AUUUAUUCAAGGAUUCAGCCAUGUAAAGUCCCAAAGCUUUAGGAUUUGAGUCCCCAGAUUCCAUAUAGUUUGCAAAUGGAGAUAAUCUAAUUCCAACUUUAUCUGCUCCUAUCUCGUUGGCUACAGCUUCAACUAUUUCCAAAGCGAAACGGCAGCGGUUCUCCAGAGAUCCACCAUAUUGAUCUGUACGAUCAUUCACCUGAUCUUUCAUAAACUGAUCAAUUAG